rnacentral:rRNA from 1 species
GGGCGUCUCUAUCUCAUUGCGAGAGGAGGCGCACCUAGAGCGUACACGCUGAUACCCGAAAGAUGGUGAACUAUGCCUGGCCAGGACGAAGCCAGGGGAAACCCUGGUGGAGGUCCGCAGCGAUUCUGACGUGCAAAUCGAUCGUCGGAGCUGGGUUUAGGGGCGAAAGACCAAUCGAACCAUCUAGUAGCUGGUUCCCUCUGAAGUUUCCCUCAGGAUAGCUUGCGCUCAAAUUGAAACGAGUCUCAUCCGGUAGAGCGAAUGAUUAGAGGCCUUGGGGUCGAAACGACCUCAACCUAUUCUCAAACUCCAAAUAGAUGAGAACCCCGGCUUUCUUGAACUUUGUUUAUGAAGCCGGGGGCUUGGAUCAGAGUGCCAAGUGGGCCAAUUUU